UGGAAGCAAGGAAUACUAAAAACAACUGGAAGUGCGUCUUAAAAUCGCGCUCACUUUUUUCUACACGAGGAGGCUGACACAUUCUUCCUUUGUUUUAUAAAUUACAAUAUAGGAAAACGUGGUUCACCAAAGUUAAUUAAUUUUUUUGUUAUUACUUAUUAGUUAAUUAAUAAUGGUGUACAAGUGUUCUGCUCCUGGAUGCAAGCAAAAUGGUUUUAUGAUUUACAACAACAGGAAUGGCCUUUUCUUAACAAGAAAUAGUUAGUAUGCUAGUGCAAAAAAGCGAAUUCUUCUCGUCUUAUGAAUCUGUGAUGCCUAUAUCAACAAAAACAAAUUAGUUAAUAUGCUUAGUUGUAUUUCUGUAAAAAAAUUGUGCAUUUAACAAAUAUCCAAAGAAUACUUCUGAAACGUAAAUGGUUUCAUUAUUGACACAAUUCAACUUGUUCAAAUCGAUCCAUAAAAAACCGAAGAAAGAAUAAUUUCUAAAAUCUUAUCCCUGAAAGUAGAUCAAUAUGAUAUGCAAAUUGAGAACAUUAUGGGGAAAUCUCCCUGCUAUAUAACUUUAUCUAGAGGAUUUUCAACACCAACAAGGAAUAGUAUUUAUAUUGUCGGAUAUAUCACAAUCAUUAUCCAAAAACUUGCUAUGUAAAAAUAUAUAACUAUGAUAUGACCUUAAAUCAGGAAAAUAAUAAAAGUAAAUACUCAACCACCGUUAGUUAUCAUAAUACCUUCCACUAGAAAUUAACUUCUUAAAAACUUAUUUAAAAGUGAGAUACGUUCAAGUGUUUUGGAAAUGAUCAGAGAUUCACAUUUUGUCUAAAGUUUUGUUUACACUAUGUGUAGUCAUAUUCUAGAAUCACAUUACUUUUAGUAGGUGGUAUUAUUAUAGUUUUUAAUAGGUAAUAGUAAUUGAGUAUUUACCCGGUAUCUUAUCCAAUAUCCCAUGAAAAACCAUCAACAACUACCAAAUCUGGUCACUUUUUUUUCUACCUAUAUUCCUAAAAUAUCGAUAAACUUUUCAACGUUGCGGUGAAGAAUUCUGCGUUGCUUACUGAAGAUAAAAUAUCUGCCAUCAUCAAUAUAACAACAAAAACAUUCCCAAACUACAUUCGAACUAACAGAUGAUUGUACUUCCAAUAUUACAUUUUAUUAUUACAUGCGAAAUAAAAACUAUUUUUAUACUUAUGUAAGAAAAAAUAUAUGCUAAAUGAAUGUCAAAAGUAAUA
rnacentral:lncRNA from 1 species